UACAGAGGGGGCAAGCGUUAUUCGGAAUUAUUGGGCGUAAAGGGCGCGUAGGCGGCGAUUCAAGUGACGGGUGAAAUCCCUCGGCUUAACCGAGGAACUGCCUGUCAGACUGGAUUGCUUGAGGCCGGGAGAGGCGAGUGGAAUUCCCAGUGUAGCGGUGAAAUGCGUAGAUAUCUGGAGGAACACCGGUGGCGAAGGCGGCAUCCUGGACCAACACUGACGCUGAGGAGCGAAAGCCAGGGGAGCAAACGGG
rnacentral:rRNA from 1 species